GUAAUAACUUCAUCACAUAUUGUAAAACUGGAACAAUAUGGAAAAGAUUAGCUUUGUCCCUGCACAAGGAUGAAACACAAAUUUGUGAAGUGCUCAAUAUUUUU